AAUAGUUGUUUUAGCGAAGAAUCAAUAUAUAUAUAUUUUGAUAAAUACAAGCCUUAUUUCCUCAUCCCCAAUAUCAAAUUAUAAAUAUGACCCAUUUAAGACAUGCUUUGAGCUUGUGGGGAUUUGCCAUACAAUGAUUGUUGUACCCUGAAACCCUCCAUAUGUCGAAUCUUUGGUUUCCUUGCAUUUUUUUGAAUAAAAAUCUGAAAUCCCUCUUUGUGCAGUAAGGCUUAUUUAAUUGAAACAAUAAAUGUUUAGGUUACUGUGGAAAAUACACAUCAUAACACAUGCAGGAAAGCAUGCAGACAAAACAAUAUCCAGUAAUUUCAUUCUACCCUCAAAAAGAAGAAAUAGGUCAUUGCACAUAGUAAAAGCAGCAGAUUUAAUGUUACUCUCUGUCAGGGAGGUGCAUAAGAUGCAAACUAUUUUUUCUUAUUUGUUGGUAUUUGUUUCAAAAGGAUAGCUUUUCUUAGUGAUACAAAUCUGUUCCAGAAAAAAAAAAAAAAGGCUAGGCCUCAGCCUAGCUGAACUUGCAGGCGCUUAGUAGGAAUAUAUAUAAUGAACAGUAUCCAACAAUUAUACAUUUGCUUCAGUGCUAAUUGUGUUUAUAUUUUUACUGGGUAAAGCCCACUUGUUAUACACUGACAUACUUCUGCUGACAAGUGUAUAAAUUUAAGGAUGGAACAUGUUAUGCUUCUAAACAUUCUCUAAAUAUGGUUUUCCCUGAGAAUGUCUUAGUGUCUCAGAAACAGCAGGAGAAAGAAAAUUCUUUUUUACAGAAAAGUAGGUAAAGCAGGCAGAAUUAAAUUAGAUGCUCUGUUGUCCUGGAGCAUUCUUUAUUGAAGAUGCAGCUGUCAGUGAAUACACAUAUUGACAUAAGUAUGAUAUAUUUUGAGUGCUACUAGUAUGCAAUACUACCAUAGCCAAAAAUAUGUUAAUUUGCACAGGGCAAUACCUUGUCUGAAGUAGUGUUGAAUACGGUGUACAAUGAGUACAAAUUUUCCAAAGUUUGAGUUUCUUAAGGACAUACUGAGAUUGGGUUAAAUUAAUUGCAUUAAUUAUGUUAUACUUGUCUGGGUCUCUGGAGUUGUUUUCACAUGGGGGAGGAGGGAUGAAGUAAAGGAUGUUUAAAAUAAGAAAAUAUGUAGUCUGUUGUAAAGGCUUUUUUCUUUUUGGCUCCUUGUUUUAUAUCAUUCCCAUCUGCAAAAAUAAACUUGCAAAUUCUGGAGUUUUUGUCUAUUCUGGAACCUACUUUCAUCAAAGCGCUUUGCUCAUCUGUAUAUAAAUGAAUAGUUGGGGGUGGGGAAUUAAAAGGGAAAUGAUUCACUUAAGCUGUGAAUAGAAAUCAUGUUAAAAUACAUUCUGUUCACACAACUGUGGUAUAUUGGAUAAGGCAACUGUUUUCCUACCAACACUAAGGUGACAAUCAGCCCACAUUUUGAGAUGGCAUGCAGGCUGUUAUGUGCAAUAUAUGCCUAUCUAUGGAACAAAAGAUUAUUUUAAGUUUUGUUAAGCAUAAAAUAGCCUCUGAUUUUUACCAGCAGAUGGUUCUAUAAAUCUAGCAAGGUCCCUCUAGCAGUCAGUGAAAUCAGUUUUGUAAAGCCAGCCUCCAGGCCAGAACAUAAAAUACAAGUUAGGACUAUCUCAGUGGAGAAAAUAAAAUGAAAUUACCCAACUGUUUAGUGGGGUGGGUACACACCUGUUGUUUUUGCAGUAUGAUAUAAAUCAAAAUCUGACUUGGCUGUUUUUGAGAAGUUUUGUAUUUGUUAUGAAAAUACCUAAUUCCACCUGUUUGUGACUGUUGAUGAGAAUUUCAAUGUAAGAAAGACUAGGUUUUGCUCCAACUUAAAAAGUUGCUUAAGAUGUGAUACUUGGCAGAAUCUCUUCACCUACUGCCACCUUGUUAUUUUUCUUUCUUUCUUUCUCUCACUUUUGACACAGUAACAGUGAAUGUAAUAUGAAGUCAGAUCAUUGACACACUUUCCUUGCAGCAGUGGACACACUUAUAUUUGGCAUAGUUCCUUUAUUUAUUCCAAGUGUCUCUUCAGCCAUUCUAAUUUGCAGAAUCCUGCUACAUUCCACCUGAAAUCUGGUCAUGGUGUGUAUGGCUAAAGAGAGGGGAGAGACACUGUGUCUAGUAGCCUCAGAGCACCUUCAUAAAAAAUAAUUUAGUUAAUAUCAUUGAUUGGGGCAGGACAUAUUAAUAAAAAUAUUUUUAAAUAUUUGUUUUUUGUUUUUAUUGCAAAUACAUAUUCACUCUGAUACCUCAUUAAACAGUAUUGGUUGAGGAUGCUAUCUGCAAAGAUACAAAAAUAUUCUUUUCAAAUGUUUAAUGUAGAAUGAUACUGUGAAUCAUUGAGUGUUACAUGAAAUUGAAUUUAGUCUGCUUUUCUGGCAAAUUCUCUGUAGCACUUCUGAAUGAUUCCCUCUGUAGAUGUUUCCAUGAGGCUUCCUGAUGUUUCCUUCUGUACGCAUUGCAUUAAAACAAACAAAACAACAACAACAACAACAAAAAAUCAGAGCAGGUAGCAUUUACUCAUCCUGGAGUUUCUGGAUUAAUUUUGUUAACACUAAUGUUCUUGUCUGUCUACUUUCAUAGCUUACCUGUGUGGGAAGAAGUUA